UGGAAAUUUAUUCUUUAUGCAUUUAUAUUAUUUUUGUAUUCUUCAUUGUAUGAUUUAUGUCAGUCAUGACAUUUUAAUCUGCGUGGGGUGAAGUCUAGGACAGGAAGUCUAGCUCGAUAGAGCUCGGGAUAGGAAGUAUGGCAAGGUGCAAGUGUGGUUUUUGUUUGUGUGAUGAUGUGCUUAAAAAACAUAUGUAUCGUCUGCCUGGAUACAAGUAGAGUAAAUAUAACCACCCAGAAGUGUCUAAACUACACCUAAUAAGGAGUUGUUUUGAUCGAAUAGCAUGGGGGGGGUGGUACAAACUCAAUGUCAGUAUAUAAUGAAGGAAGGAUUUGAGAUUCUUCACUUCUUCACAUAUCGUUUCACUGUCGUUAUGUGUCGAGUCCUUGUACAAGUAAAUAAAUCAUCUCUGAUGGACAGAUCCUGGUAUUCGUAUUAUUUUUCCACGACAAUUUGGCGACGAGGAUGGGAUCCCAAUAACCCGAGGAAAGGGUCAACGGUUUGAUCAACUCACCAUAGAUAGGAGAGGUGACCCAAACCCCCAGCUGAAGGGACGUGGGCGUUGACUCUGAUCCGAAGGUGACGGGAUCCAGACGAACCAGUGGAGAUAAUACGGUAAAUAAAAAUACGUUAUCUAGAAAGGGGUUUAAGUGAGUAAACACUGGAGAGUAAUUCUCUCCCGGAAAAUCACCUCUAGAAAGGGGUUUAAGUGAGUAAACACUGGAGAGUAAUUCUCUCCCGGAAAAUCACCUCUAGAAAGGGGUUUAAGUGAGUAAACACUGGAGAGUAAUUCUCUCCCGGAAAAUCACCUCUAGAAAGGGGUCUAAGUGAGUAAACACUGGAGAGUGGUCUCUCCCGGAAAAUCACUGCGUGAAAUUGUAAUCACUGAAGAGUAAGUCUCUUCUAAAAUUACGGACGGAAUUGUACCCGCCUGUAGAUAAUGGAAAACACGGGAAGUAGCGCUCCCCGUCCGAAAUGGAACACGGAAAGUGGAUUGUCUAUCAGAGAUGAAACCGGUUUAAUAAGAACUUAUGGGAGAGGAUGGAUAGAAACCAUACCUCUGAUACAAAAAUAUGUGGAAAUAAGUUUCAGUGUAACUAAAAAUAAAGAGCUCAGAGACAAAAUAAUACAGAAAGAUCAUUCUAAGAAUAAAGCCGGCAUCACCCCCAUACGAUGAACAGCAAAAUGGAGCAGUCGGAGGAGCCCCGUGCUGCCAACUACACCGAUACCCCCUGCCGAUCUCUAUGUCAACGCUGUGGCUGCACGGGACUCCUACGUGCAAACAACAAGAUGGAGAGACCGUGAGUAAUUUCCUGGCAAGAUUAGAAAAAGACUUUGAGAGACAUUCUGGCAUAACUGCAAAAAUGCCCAAUAAUGAACCCCACCCAGCGUACAGUAGGCACUUACCAAUGUACUUCAUGAGAAAUCUAGAUAUUGAACUGUCUGAACCUAUCAAAGCUACCCUGGACGGGGAGAAAAUGGCCACAUUGGAGGAAGUGGUGAAACAUGCGGAACACCACGAGAAGAGACUUAAACAAGAACGCCUCAAAAAGAACAGGGAGGCACAAGAUAUGAAUUUCACCAUGAUGCAAUGCACCCUUUACGAUCGACAACAACAGGAUCGUAACUCCGGUUUUCCAACACUUAACCCGCAGGGGUAAAGGUAGAGGACGGGGACGAGGGAACGGCCGGUGGAAUCAACGCGGAUGUUUCAACUGUGAUUCAAUGGAUCAUUGGAAAGAUCAAUGCCCCGAACUAAAAGUUCAAAAACCUCAUGCAGACUGAAAUGUGCUAAAUAGCGGGGAGGGGGCCGGUGGAGAGGAGACUGAAGUAGGUUCUUUUAUGCUCUGUCGCAAUGAAGAAUGCUUGGCCGGGGUAAGAAGUAUUUUUUCCUGCUUUACUCUGUGAUACUAAAUAAUCUUUCGCAAGAAAACCAUUUGAAAGGUUACAAUAUGUUUUAUUGUCUAUCUCAGGCAAAAAGAUUCUUUUUAUUGUAGAUUCAGGGGCCCCCACUUCAAUAUUGCUGAUUAUAUGCCCAAAUCUGUACAGAUGAUAAAAAAAAAAUGAAAAAUGUUCCCUCAGUGCCACAGGGCAUGUUGUUAAAGAAACUUUUUCUCAACCUUUACAAUGUAUAUAUGAACAUAAUCAAACUUCUUUUUUUUACCUCUUUUCUAAUUAGCAGAACUUGCCCAUAUAACUUGCUCGGUAGAGACAUCAUGUGUAAACUGCACAUGACGGUAUGGUGUGAUGAAGUGACUGGGUUGAAUGUGACUCUGUGUAAGGAAGUGUGCCUCAGUGUGUUUGUGGGGGAGAGGCCUGAGAGUGAUGCUGGUUUGAAAACACACUAAUGUACACGCCCAUCCUCAGAUUUUAUGUCACCAGAAGAUUUGCACUGCACAGCUCAUGUCACCUGGGAAAUCGAAGCAGAUUACCAAGCGGCGUGGGCACAGCAGUCUGGUGAUCAGUUGACCACAAAUUGGUUGUACUGGAAUGGGGCCUGGGCUGCAUUGAGUGUGAUGCUUCCUAAAUGUGCUUCUAUGUUGUAUGAUGUUGCAAAUGCUGGUCCUUACAUAUCACUGGCCAAAGCUACUGAUAUGAAAGGGAGUAUGUGGGCCCUAUAGUAAGUGCAUGCACAAAGGCCGCAAAUUGGCAUAUGUAAAAUGAUGACAUGUCUUAUUUUCCAUCCUUAGGUGUGCGGAGAACCGCAUACCAGAGCUAUUCUCUGCGAAAGCGCAGGGAAUAGCAGCGCAGCGACAGUUGGCAGCACACAUGGGGUGGAUCGGUCCACGAUGCCACUCCAUCAGUGGGCCACAGAUAAGUAUAAUGUGGGUCUCAUUAAAUCAUGUGCGUCCGUAAAGAUCACACCAAAGAGUGAUUUUCGCCAGUGAAAACCAUAAGAUCCUCUCAAAAAAGGAGCAGAGGACUGUAUCAAACCUGUUUUUGAUUCGUUGUUCGCAAAAGGAAUUAUUAUUCCAUGCUCGUAGUAACCGGAAAAUACACCAAUAUUUCCGGUAAAGAAAAGUAGAGGAAAAGUUGAGCCCACUGAGUGGAGAUUUGUACAAGAUCUACAGGCAGUAAAUGCGGCUGUAGAAGCAAGGGCUCCGAACGUGCCCAACCCUUAUACCAUCCUGUUACAAAUAUCACAGAGCACCGCAUUUUACAUGACCGUGGACAUUUCCAAUGUGUUUUAUUCAGUGCCAGUACAUCUGGACAGCCAGUUUUGGGUUGCGUUUAUGUUCGCCAGCCGCAGAUUCAUGUUCACUAACCUUUGCCGGGGCUAUCGUGAGUACUAUAAUAUACCACUAAGCCCUGGCAAAAAGCCUGUCCACCCUAAACCUCCCAGAUGGGUUGACUUUGCUACAAUAUGUUGGUAAAGGUAAAGCUCAGAACACAAUCUGUAAAAUCAAAAAGUAUACCUUACUAUGAAAAUGCUGUUUACUUAUUUUUAAUUAAAAUGUUGAGUGUGCUUAAAAUAGCUACUUGUUGUUUAUAAGUUAAAACGUAAAGUUCGCACAACUGAACCAAUUUAAGUAAAAUGACACAAAAUAGCCAAAAUGUUCUAUUGAGCAUGCGCAUUCGAGGGCAAUUCCCUUCCUCCACACCUGUUUCUAAUUUUUUUGAUUUCGAUGAGCUUUUUCCUGGAGGGCGUGGUACUGUUACAAUAUGUAGAAGAUCCUUUCAAUUCCAUGUUAAAAAAGUGGUUUGGUAAAUGGAGUGGGUAGAUUUCAUCUGUGUUGUGGUCAAUAGGUGUAAUGAUUGCUAUUUUGAAUUGGUGUGGAUGUUGUUGCAUACCAUUUAUUAAGAGGUCUCAUCGAGAAAACAAUUGAUAAAGGUAUGACUAAAAUGAUGUACCAACGGGUUGAACAGGAGGAAAUUGAGAAUAAAAUUGAGGAGCAAAAUGAGGAUGAUAGUUGUGGGAGGGCUCUGCAAAUGAGGAGGUGCUAGUGGAACCUCGCCCCUCACACGACCCUCUACGGCUAAAGAUGGGCUGCCUGGGUUGAAGAGGAUCUGCAUGCUUACACAAUUUUACACAUACACAUAUAGGAAUGUAAUUAACUAUGUUUAGCUCACUAGUGAUUUGCAUAACAUACUCACAGUGAGAUUGCUCAAAUGCUGAUUCAUGAUAUAGAAAUGUUUACACUGGCCAGCCUGUAAUCUUUGGUAUGUUGAUGUUUCAUUUUAUCUUUAAUGUUGUUUUUUAGAAAUCUAUGUUUUUUUGAUGUGUGGUUUGUCACUUGUGUUAUUGCAUUAAUAAUGUGUUGAAAACCUAAGGCAAGCUCACAAGGGAUGAGUAAAUUGCUACUUUAAAAAUGUUGUUUUAAAGUGCAUUAACAAUCUAAUAACAACCAAGGUGAUCGCUUUUUAUGGUAAUUAUGACUGUGUAAAUUAGAGGAAGGGGAUCAAAUGGGGAAGGAUGAGUUUGAACUGGUCGAGUUCCUUAAAGUAUUACAAUCAAUGUUUAAACGAAGGGCUUCUGAGAGCAGCGUAAAAGCCUGCAGGGAAGUCUGGAUAAAAAUGUCAUUUGGACAUUGGGGUGGAAUUGUAAUGGAAAUUUAUUCUUUAUGCAUUUAUAUUAUUUUUGUAUUCUUCAUUGUAUGAUUUAUGUCAGUCAUGACAUUUUAAUCUGCGUGGGGUGAAGUCUAGGACAGGAAGUCUAGCUCGAUAGAGCUCGGGAUAGGAAGUAUGGCAAGGUGCAAGUGUGGUUUUUGUUUGUGUGAUGAUGUGCUUAAAAAACAUAUGUAUCGUCUGCCUGGAUACAAGUAGAGUAAAUAUAACCACCCAGAAGUGUCUAAACUACACCUAAUAAGGAGUUGUUUUGAUCGAAUAGCAUGGGGGGGGUGGUACAAACUCAAUGUCAGUAUAUAAUGAAGGAAGGAUUUGAGAUUCUUCACUUCUUCACAUAUCGUUUCACUGUCGUUAUGUGUCGAGUCCUUGUACAAGUAAAUAAAUCAUCUCUGAUGGACA